rnacentral:rRNA from 1 species
AGCGCAGGCGGGAAGGUAAGUCUAUCUUAAAAGUGCGGGGCUCAACCCCGUGAGGGGAUAGAAACUAUUUUUCUUGAGUGCAGGAGAGGAAAGCGGAAUUCCUAGUGUAGCGGUGAAAUGCGUAGAUAUUAGGAGGAACACCAGUGGCGAAGGCGGCUUUCUGGACUGUAACUGACGCUGAGGCUCGAAAGCCAGGGGAGCGAAG